rnacentral:lncRNA from 1 species
GCAAAUUUGCCCUUAUUUACAUAAAUUUGUACUUAUCUAGACUACCUAGUUCAAAUAAUUAUGACUUCUUGAAAGGCUAUUACAUUUUUUUUAUUUGACGCCUUACUGUACAUUAGAGUAAAGCGUCCAAAAAAUAAUAUUAUAAUAGCCUUUCAAGACGUCAUAAUAAUUUGGACUACUAGACUACCCAGAAAUUAGAAAACACUGAUAUAAAAAUUUAAUAUACAUAAAAUUGAUAAUGGAAAUGGGGAAUGUGUCAAAGAGACAACAACCCGACCAUAAAGCAGACAACAGCAGAAGGUCACCAACAUGUCUUCAAUGCAGCAAGAAAUUCCGGAGGCGUCCAUCAGCUGGCCCCUAAACAAAUAUAUAUACUAGUUCAGUGAUAAUGAACGCCAUACUAAACAUGCUAAACUCCAAAUUGUACACAAGAAACUAAAAUUAAAAAUAGUACAAGACUAACAAAGGCCAGAGGCUCCUGACUUGGGACAGGCGCAAAAUUCAAGCGGGGUUAAACAUGUUUAUGAGAUCUUAACCCUCCCCCUAUACAUGUACCUCUAGCCAAUGCAGAUGUAUGAUAUCUAUUGAUUUAAAUUGAUGUGUCAUUUCUGAAACCAUGAUUGUGGAUUCAUAUUUAUUAUUAAAUUAUUAUGUACAUGUAAUUUAUGUAUUUAUUUAGUGUAUCAUAAUCUAUUUGAACUUUUUUUUAGCUUACUCAAAAUCAAGCUGUUUGGGCCUCCUCUUGUACAUGGGAAGUGGACUCCUUGAGAAGGUGAAAGGUCUGCUUUACAUGUACGUAAUGUUAAUAUAAAAAUACAAAAAAUGUGGUGAUCAUGGUGAUAGUGAAUGAGAAAAUAGAGGAAUUUUUAAAAGUGUAAAUUCACUUUUUUCCACUUAUAAAUCUGUCAUAUUGUAAUUCUGAUAAUCUGAUAAUAAUGUUUAAAUUACAUAAUUAGGGAGCUACCAUUUGAUUUUUAGGGGGGGGGGGGCUAGGAUGAAAAAUUUUGUCCUGCAUUUUUUUUCAGUUGUAAUUUCUGUCCUGCCUUUUUAUUUUUCACUCUAUUCGGUCCUGCCUUUUUUUUAUUAGUUUAUUCCGACUUUUUUUUACCUAAAUUGUCAUCCUGCAUUUUUUUUGCAAAGUGUCUCAUCCUGCCUUUUUUUUACACUCAAAACUCCUGUCCUGCCUAUUUUUUUCAAAUUUCAUCCUAGCCCCCCCAUAAAAAUCAAAUGGUAGCUCCCUUAUUUUCAAAAUAAAAUAUUGUUUAGGUUGCUAUAAACAGUUUCGUAUAAAAACUAGGGGUUAUUCCCCAACUAAAAAUAGACAUGGAGGGAAGUCCCUUUUUAUCAACAUAAUUGGUGAAAAAGUAUCAUGUUUUUUGUAUUUGGUUGUAAAGAUAUAUUAAUUAACUUCAAUUAAAGCAGGUUGAAUGAUUAAAAUAAUUAAAAAAAUUAGAUUAAAUAUACAUGUUUUGAGGGGAGACAACAC